CUAAUCUUUCUUUCCUCCCCUCCCUCUCUUUCUUUUAUUCAUUUAUUUUUUUGCAGUGCUCAGGGUGGAGCUUGGAGCUACAUCCAUAGCCCUACGUGCCUCUUCCAAGAUGAGAUGACUUGGGACACUUUCAGUCUCUGGCAUCCAAUACCUGUGAUGUGCCUCAAGGCCUGCUGAUGAGAUUCUGGGACAAGCAACCAAAAGCCAGCAAAGAAAAGGUGCAUGGCUGUCAUCGCUUAAACAGAGAUUUGGUGGCAGAAUGAUGGUUCCUCUCAUCCCACAUGCAUGCAUCAACUUGGAUUCAUUUAGGACCAGGAGGGAUUGAAGCUGGAUUCUGCACUGGUGGAGCUGGAAAUGACUGCAAAUUCAUCCCUGGCUGGAAGAGUCCCCCAGAUUGGGUUUCAUAAAGAGUUCGUAACUUGCAUGAAGAAACUGAAGAUUUAUGAGUGGGCAUGGCAGGCUCCACUUCGAUCAACUGCGACACUGCAGCUUCAGCAAAGAUGAAUGGUUCCAUCGCUUGACACAGCAGCAGGAUAGGCCUCUGGAUCGCCUGGAAGUGAAGCAUCUGGGGACAUCUCCUAAUAGAGACAGAAUCAAAGAAAAACAAGGUGAUAAUAAUUUAGGUAAGGCAAAUAAGUUUUUGGUAUACUGGAGUUUCUUACAUGAACUGUUGCAGUAACACUACCAUAUCAGUCUAAAACUGAAGCCUUGACAUUUCUUUGCAAUUACUAUGUCUUUAAGUAAAACCAAACAGAAUAUUAAUUUUCCAGGCCAAAAUUUACAUCAACUUUGAAAACUAAAAUUUAAAAUAAGCUUUUUUUAUAUGUGCCAAAUAACUGAAAAUACUAUUUUUUGGUUCAGUAGAGACAAGGAAUCAUGUAAACCAGGUUGUCCUUGA